UCUCAAAUUUUAAUCUCAAGUCGCCAGAUCCAGCAGCCCCCUAUCCCUCUCUCUCACUCUCUCCCGUCCGCAGGGCGCCGCCCCGCCGGCGAGCAGGCCGGCCUCGCGGGCUCCCUCCUCCGAGCUCGCCCGGCUGCCUCCACCACGGUGCGUGCCUCCUACCCUCCGGCCGAGCGAAGGAGCACCGGCGAGCGAGGCCCCUCUUCUCCGGCGAGCGGACUCGCCCCCUCUGCUCGCGCAGCUUCUCCGCCACAAGGAAGGCGCCUUUUCCCCUGCCGCCGCGUCCAUCGCCACGGCCGGCCCUCCGCCACCGCACCAGCACCAGCCGAAUCGUGCAGAUCGGGACACCGGAGAUUGAGACAGCGCAGCCGCAGUGCUAGCGUCAGGCGGUGACAAUGGGACGUGGGAUCAGAAAUGCAGACUAGUAGCAGUAGAGAUGGAGAACUGGGAGAAGCGUGGCAUGGCAAUGGCAUCAGGGCUCAGGAGGGGCUCGUCGUCGUCAGGGGGGCACGGAGACGGUGGGCACGGGCAGGGCAACUGCCGCUCGCUCGCUGCUGCAGGCUCUCCUGCGCCCCCGCUUUUGACCGGAUGAAUUCUGUGCAGGGUGACUAGCUUCUAUUCUGAAUUACCGCCGUGUGAAUUCUGUGCAGGGAGUGGUAACCACACUGUCAGGACAGCUCUUCUGGUGUCAAUCCCUGUCGCUGUUGCGCUGCUGGUGUUGCUGCUAGUUGUUUCCUGUCUCUGCAAGAACAGAAAACCACACAAGCAUGUGUAGAUUGCAAGCAUCAGACGUGAAGAUGAGGAAGGAAUGAGAAGCUCAGAGUCUCUCCUGUAGGGGUUACAUGUUUGAUAUAAGAUUUUGCACAAUUGAAAGACCAUGGACAGGCACAGUAGUGACUACUACGACGAACAGGAGUACAACAUCUUUUCCCAGGAGACGUCGUAUCCUCUGACAGCCCCUAGCCUCUCGACUCCUAGGGGACCUGGUCUACAAAAUCUAGACCUCAACUCCCAGGCCGACGGCUUCCCGCACAUGGACUCCUAUAUUGAAAUCCCACAAUCAGAGAAAGGUGACAGUGAGGCACGGCUACCUCCUCUUCCCCCAAGAUCAAGCCAGGCGCCGUUCCAGCCUCCUCGUCAAGGCGGUGGUGGGAGGGGACCUGGCCGUGGAGCAUGCCAGGCUGCGGGCAGACAAGGUCACCGCAACUCUCGCAACUCCCUCAAUAGUAGAGCUGCAGCCGGCCGCGUGCCACAAGAAUAUGCUCCUCCGGCCUAGUUCAAUCCUCCGGUGGUUGGUGGCAGAAGCCGUGGUACUUCGAUGCUUAACCGUCCUAGCGUGCAUCAUCUUCGUCUUUUGCUAGGAACUCCUUUCCUCCACAGGAUCUCAGUGCCCACAAUCAGUGGGAGCAAGAAGAUGAUAGCGUCUCUCAGUUGCAACCAUGGGCAUUGGAUGAUGGUUUGGAAUUGCUGAGGCAGCAGGAUGGCACUCCAAGAACUGGUGGGAAAGGACCAUCCAAGCGAGGCAGUAACUACAGUGCUGUUGAGGAUGUCCAACUUUGCAAAUCCUGGAUUCAUAUCAGCAAUGAUCCUAUCAUAGGGAAUGAUCAGUCAGGAAAAACUUACUGGGAGAGGAUUGCUAAUGAUUUCCACAUGAACAGGGACUUUGAGUCGAUAGGACUCCCAAUUCACUCGAGCAUCGGUUUGGAAUCAUACUAAAAGGAGUGCAUGAAAUUCCAUGGCUUCUUCGAGGAGGUCCAGCGUCGUCAUCGAAGUGGUGUCCCGUACCAAGAACAUUUGGGGGAAGCCCAUGGAAGGUAUGUCAGAAAAGAAAGCGCAAAGAAAUUUCAAUUUGAACAAUGUUGGCUCACGUUGAGGAAUACUCAAAAGUUCGAAUCAACACUUGAAGUCAGCAAGAGGCCGACCAAGUCCAGAGAGCUCAACCUCUCCGUAGGAACUCAACAAGACAGUGAGACAACCGCCCAAGGUCAAGAGAGCUCCUCCAUUCCUUCUACCAAGACAACCCGACCUCCGGGUAGAAAGCAAUCCAAAGACAAGCUGAAAAAAAAUGAAGGAGAUGACGGCUAUAAGGAUAUGAUGCAAAAUUUUUUGGUAAUGAAGACCGAGGAACAAAUGAUGAAGAAAGCAAGGUGGGAGAAGGAUAUGCUGCUUGAGGAGCGGAAGCUUAAGGUGGAGGAGCAGCGGCUGCAGUGGGAGCAGGAACAGAAAAUCAUGUUUUGUGAUGUGACCGCUAUGGACGAUGAUCAGAGGGCUUAUGUGUUGGCGAAGAGAGCGAGGAUUGUGAAGGAUAUGAGUGUUGGUAUAGGCGAGACAGUUAGUGGUGAGAGCGGAGUGUAGGUUUGGUGAGAGUGGAGUCUCUGUAUUUAUCCCAUAUGUAUUUUCACAUAUCUUCAGUCGGUUUAUUAUGAUCCCCCUUAAAAUAUUUAUAAUUCAGUAACUGAACCGAGGAAGCAACAUGUAUUUUUUUCUUUUGUUAAGAGGAUCUGCUCUUUCAGGCAAUCAUUUAUUUCUGGUUCAAUGUCAUGAGUCUAUGCUUCAUGACUGGUUGAUUAUAAAUGUUUUUUUGUGGGCGGCAA